rnacentral:rRNA from 1 species
CGGGAAACCGGAGCUAAUACGAUAAUAUUUCGAACCGCAUGGUUCGAUAGUGAAAGAUGGUUUUGCUAUCACUUAUAGAUGGACCCGCGCCGUAUUAGCUAGUUGGUAAGGUAACGGCUUACCAAGGCGACGAUACGUAGCCGACCUGAGAGGGUGAUCGGCCACACUGGAACUGAGACACGGUCCAGAUCCUACGGGAGGCAGCAGCU